rnacentral:rRNA from 1 species
GACGUAGGGUCCAAGCGUUGUUCGGAUUUACUGGGCGUAAAGGGCGCGUAGGCGGCGUGUUAAGUCAGCUGUGAAAUCUCCAAGCUUAACUUGGAACGGUCAGCUGAUACUGAUGUGCUAGAGUGCAGAAGGGGCAAUCGGAAUUCUUGGUGUAGCGGUGAAAUGCGUAGAUAUCAAGAGGAACACCUGAGGUGAAGACGGGUUGCUGGGCUGACACUGACGCUGAGGCGCGAAAGCUAGGGUAGCAAACGGG